GCAGAGAGGGACACUUGGGGUGGGGGACAGCACACCCAGGGGCCGGGGGCCAGGAGUGGAGGCUGGCACUUGGCAAACCUGCCCCCUUCCUCCUCACCCAGCCUGGUCCUCAACCCUCAGGCCGCCCAGGGAAGGGUUUCCUCCACCUGAACCCACUCAGCUCCUUUCUUAGCUUGGCCCCACGCCACCGUCCCCAGCCCAUUGCUCUGUGUGAGGGUGGCAGUGGGGCUGCAGUGUGGGGCGCCCAUGCUGUUUUCUCUCAUGCUUCAGCCAAGAACUACAUCGCGCUGGAUGACUUUGUGGAGAUCACUAAGAAGUACGCCAAGGGCGUCAUCCCCAGCAGCCUGUUCCUGCAGGACGACGAAGAUGAUGACGAGCUGGCGGGGAAGAGCCCUGAGGACCUGCCACUGCGUCUGAAGGUGGUCAAGUACCCCCUGCACGCCAUCAUGGAGAUCAAGGAGUACCUGAUUGACAUGGCCUCCAGGGCAGGCAUGCACUGGCUGUCCACCAUCAUCCCCACGCACCACAUCAACGCGCUCAUCUUCUUCUUCAUCGUCAGCAACCUCACCA
rnacentral:lncRNA from 10 species